AACAACAACAACCCAGACCAAUUGAAAUCUUCCUUUCUGAUACAUUUCUAUACUCUGUGCAACCAUGAAAGGGUGGGAGGGUCCGGGAAGGGGUUUUUUAUACAUUUUUGUAACUUUGUAAUCAGAGAGAAGAGAAAUUUCUAUGGUUAUUUUUACGGUCCUGCUGUUUCCGUUGCCGUGAUGCUGAUCUCAUUUGUCUUUGGCAGUGAUAACGUCCGAACUGUGGCAUGAUGCUAUGCAGGCUUCUUCUCCAAGUGAGGGCUCCUCAGAGGGCCUUGCAGGGUAGGAAAAAUGGAGCGACUGAUCAUUUGAAGGCCCUCUUCAGACUGCCCUUUAGGCAGGCCCCCGCCUGACAUCGUCACGGUAGCAGCACUAAGUGGCAGCCAUCUUGCUGGGGAAGGGGCAGGCCCAAACACACCCACCACUGGCCCAAGCCGUCAGUCCCGUGAUUGGACCCUUGAAUGCGCCAAAAUUCCCACAUUCCCUUAGCCAGGAGCUUUUGUGGAGCUCUUGUGAAUGCUUCCCCAUGUGGGCACAGCUUUACUGCUUCAGUUCAGAGGCCUCGCAUAUAUUUUAUAUGCUCUUCCAUACACGGCCUCCAUCCUCUUCUCAGACAUUUUUGCAGCCAGAGUGGGUAUUGGGAACCAUCCGUCUUGUGAGGCUGGGCUGACAGUGAAGAGAUGGAAGAAUCUGAGCCCUCUAAGGUGCAUCUUCCUAAACGUAGCCUUGAUCCAGCCAUGGUGCACAUGAGAAACUUGCCUUUCUCUUCCUCUUUCUCAUUCAUUUUCUUCCUUCUUGACAAGGGCAUUAACUACAGUGCUUCGCUGUCAGCCUACCUUCUCCUACCAAUUUCCUAUUCCUUGGGCCCUGAGUGUGAAUGUCAUGGUAUACAGUGUUUAGGACACAACUUCGAAAACAGGGUGGCUUGCUUUUCCCCCCCCGUGGGGCUCUUACAUUUAACAGCAGGAGGAAUUUAGCAGGUCAGGAUCUACCCCUGACUAUAGCCGCCUGCUGAAUUUUUUUGGCAUCACACAGCAUUGAAAAAUUCAGAAUGAUAUGUUUAAAAAACAAAAGUUCAGAAGUCCUGCCUGGGGUGUGGGGGGGGGAUGGGCAACCUUCACUAAAAGCUGAAAGAGAGAUUGGAGAAUUCUCCAAAGCAUCCCAUUUUGAAUGGGACCCCCGCCCUGAGGUUUCAAAAGAAAUCCUUUGUGGAAAACUUAUUUCCUUCCACCAAACCUCUGCAUGUUCCCUCUCAUCAAAUGAAGAAGAAAGCAUUCUGAGGAUUCCAGACAUGCCAUUAAUGUGAUGCUGAUCUCAUUUAUCUUGGCAGUGAUUGGCCUAAACUGACAGGAUGCUUUUCUGCAUUAUUUUCAAAACCUUGUUUUUAAAAGGGUCCUUCAAUGGUUUCCCCAUCCGUGGAAUAGCAUUAUUUUAUAUUUGUGGUAUGCCAUACCACUGAUGUAUUCCACAUGUGGUGAUGUUCUUGAUUACUCAGGAAGUAUCUAUGUCAAUCUGAGGCUUAUCCCAUAGUGCCAGCCUUCCCCAAUUCCUAUCAGUAUCAGUACCAUGGUCGCCAAUGGUCAGGGACGAUGGGAGCCCAAAACAUCUGGAGGGCACCAGGUUGGAGAAGGGUACCAGAGUGGCACCCCAAGCUUACGCAGAAGUGGCACCUGACUUGCUUCCACCAUCUCUCCAUACCUUUCAUGCUGCUGCUCAGGUCUGCCACUGACUCCUGGCAUUCAUAAGCAAGUGCUAAUCUUCCAGGAGUUCUCUCUGUAAUUCUGCAGUUUGGAUACUGAUACGGAUCUAGAAAACCUACGAAUAUGAGCUAUAGACCACAACCGAAUUAAACAAGGGAGGAAAUCCUUCAUUCAUCGUUUUCAUUUAGCAGUUCAUGUCCUGGUGUGCAUAUAUACAAAACAACACAAAUAAGUUCUCUAGGUAGAAACUAGUGAAAUCCAGUUGUGAUUUAUGGUGCAAUCCUAUAUAUGUUAUGGCGCAAUCCUAUACAUGUUAUGGUGCAAUCCUAUUGUUUGCAUGGAAAUGUCCCACUAUUUUUAUGGAGUUUACUCUCUAGUGAGUAAGUAUGCAUAAGGACUGUAGCCCUAAGUCUCAUUACAGUAGUACCAAAGCAUUUUAACUGUACACUUUUGCCUCACUUAUUCCAGAAUUAGUCAAUAACUUUGACUUGCUCAUUUUUUCACAGUGCAGUACAUGAUUUCUUACUCCCUAGACUGUAAGCAUUUCUCUCUUGUCUUGAAAUGAAGUAAACAUUUACAUCAUUGUAUGUAGUUGUACAUGGACACACACACACCUCCAGCUCUAAACCAAAUGCAUUUCCAGGUGCUUUUGUUUUUAACAAAUUAUAGCUCUCAAUGGCCUUAAAAGAUUCAGAAAAGCUGCUUUGCUGUCAAAAGCCAUCCUUUCUAUCCAGGCAUUAGAAGAAACGGCCCUCAUCACUGCACUUGUGCUUAUUUAAAUUGAAAUAGAAAUGCAAAAUGCACACAAACACACAUAAAGCAACAACCUGUAAUUCUAAUGUGCUUUUCACACUUUCUUCCACUCUUCCUUUGGGUGCCCAUAUACUCAUUUCUUCUUUGUCCCGGGAGUGUGGCAGUCUAGUCAACUCUCAAGGGCACCCAGUUAAUUUUGGGGUCUCGGUGCACAACUGUUUGUUUUCUUUUUAACCACACUUUUUUAAAGCAAUAGUGGGAUACCACUAGUGAUGUUUAACUCCACUUAGGACUCUGCGCCUCUCCAGAUUACCUUUUCAUUGUGCAUUCAUGAUGAUUUGCACUCAUGAUGGUGUCAGGGCAGUAAUACGCAAUUCCUUCAAGUACUGUUUGCUCCUGCAAAAGUUUCAGGGUAGACAAACAAGUUGGUGUGUGUCCCAUAAGCUUCCUGCAGAAAUCCUGUGACUUUUCACUCCACAAAUGGGCUGAGGUAGGUGAAGAAGUGCCCCACUUUUAUUGCGCCAGAGCGGAAGAGUGCCUUUCCAGACAGCAAUAAUGUGGUGACACUGAGGAAAUGUUGCAGAACAACCAAUAAAACCCUUGCCCUCACCCAGAUCAGAGAGUAGGACCUGAAUGUUCAUAACAGCAAGUGAUACAGUCCCUUUGUGGCAAUGCAUUCUCUCAGAACCAUCACCAAGAAUUGCCUGUUUGAAAGCAGAACCGUCCAUUAAAAUCUCCAAGUUAGGGAGAAGGCAGCCUCCUCCCAGAUAUGUUAAAUUUGUUUUCUUCCAAAUACAGGGAUAAUUUGAGAAGGUUGCUUCCAAAUAACACCACACACACACACACACACACACACACACACAGGAGUGUACCACAUAUCUGUCUGAAUGUUUAAAUUUCUAGCUCUGGUGGCCGAGAGGAUUGUGCUUAUAAGAGAAGCAACUGGUCUUUUGGUGCUAUAUAAGAUCUACUUCCAAUCUCAGGCUUCCCUUGCAUGUUGAUGUCUCUUAACUCACUUUCAGCGGCGACAAUGCUCCGUUUACUGCCUUAUUACCACAGAAUGCUACAGCUUAAUGUUAAACAAAACUGACUUAAUGUUUACACUGGGGGACUUUUUUUCUGUGAUGGUCCAAGGUGGGUGGCAGCUGGCUUGUGGCCACCCCUUCCACUCGCUCAGGCCAGACGCCUUUUGAUUGGUCUAAUUGUGACUAAGAAAAAGGAAUGGGGUUUUUCUUUUUUAAUGAUUCUCAAAUACAUUCCACAGUCUGUUACCCUGGGAGGGAAAGGGCUCCCGUUAGCCUUCUGACCUUUCCCACUUGUUGCCUGAGCAAAGGUGGGAUUGCUCCAGCUUUUGGUCAGAGCUGCCUUUAUCCUCCCAUGUAGAAUUGGAGGAAACCAUUAUGUGCCAAGCCAAGAGGCAGGUGGCAAUCUACCUCUGCUGCCAAGCAGAGGGCACAGUUAUCACUGACCCUUGCAAAGGCAGAAGAUGGGGGAUUGGGCCCAGAAAAAAAAAUUAAUCAGAACUUACUUGUUUAUAAGAAUCAAGCUAGGAGGAAACGAGGCUGAGAAGCAAGCAAAGACCCAGGCAUGCUUUUGUGCAAAUAUGUAAAAGAAAUGAAAUGCAACUUCUUUCUCAUGUAAAAGUGCAAAUCAUUCCAGACGUGCUGAAUGCAAAAGUCCUUUGUGUACUCAUCAUCCCUGAAUGUGACCUGUUGGGCUCCACUAAAGAGCUUGUUUACACUGGGGGUUUUUCAGUCUGUGUAUGUAUAUAUAGCCAAACCAGGAUCCAGAUUUUCUCUUUGUUCCACUGAUCUCAAGAAAGAUUGUCUCCUAACUUUCUUUGGAUGCUGUUUGUACUUUCUACCCUCUUUAUAAUUCAAUUGAUGUCUGCAAUGUUUAUUGAUCAUCAAAAAGAAAAGAAAAGAAAGCUAGUUGGUGGGUUGGUGGAAUACUGGAGUUUCUGUUUUCAUUUUAAACUGAUUUUUCUCUCUUCGGAAAGGGCUUGAUUGGGUGAGUGGCUAUGUUUUCUUGUGGGUUCGAUUCAAUAUCUAGAAGAGGCCAUGCCAUCAAAGGAAAGCCCUCAUCUCUCUCUCUCACACACACACACAUAACUGCAUCAGUCCAGAUCUUUCUUAGAAGGAGGCUUCCAUUUUCAGACCCUCCACUUCUACUUCCCAGCAUGCUGAACAUGGUUUUGUCUUGGAGGGGUGCGAGGCCAUCAAACCCACCAAAGCUGUGUGCAGAUUGUCCUGGUCUACCAGGGCACUCCUUUAACAACACCAACCCUGUUUGUUAGUUUGAGGAAGAAAGCAGAUGGGUCAUGUUCAGAGGCGCUACUUCUGCCCGAGAGGUUUGCAUGCCUCUUUGUGGGUAAGGAAAGGAUCCACCGAACUCAUCAAACGCUUCGCAGAGAUGUGUGCCAAAAAGAAUGACACUGAGCUAUAGGCAAAAGUGUCAGCCUCUCUCAUGCCUUCCUAGUUGUUUGCUGUGUUGCUGCUGACAGCUGGCACUCUUAUCACUGCCUUGAAGAGCUCAGAAUGUUCCUGGGAGGAGGCAUUCCCCAUCCCCAUCUCUUUCCUGGGAGAUGAAGUUGCCGUGCGAAUCUGCAGAGCGGUUCUUUGAUUGUACAUGUGGUGGCCUAGGCUCUGGAGAGCAUUUGUUUUGGUUGGUUAAUUCUAUUUUUUGUCUUUCCCUCCCCCUCUCCAGUUUGUUGGCAGAGAGAGGUCCGUGGACGUCCUCCCCAGCCAUGUAAAAUUGUACCAUGAAAGCAACAGAUUUGG